rnacentral:tRNA from 1 species
UCAUAGCUGGAGUCGGUAAAGAAUCUGCCUGCAAUGCAGAAGACCCAGGUUUGAUUCCUAGGUUGGGAA